rnacentral:rRNA from 1 species
UACAGAGGUCCCAAGCGUUGUUCGGAUUCACUGGGCGUAAAGGGUGCGUAGGCGGUCGGGUAAGUCUGGCGUGAAAUCUCCAAGCCUAACUUGGAAACUGCGUUGGAUACUAUCCGGCUCGAGGAAUGGAGGGGAGACUGGAAUACUUGGUGUAGCAGUGAAAUGCGUAGAUAUGUGGAGGAACACCGAUGGCGAAGGCAGCCCCCUGGGUCAAAACUGACGCUCAUGCACGAAAGCGUGGGGAGCAAACAGG